rnacentral:rRNA from 1 species
UACAGAGGGUGCAAGCGUUAAUCGGAAUUACUGGGCGUAAAGCGCGCGUAGGCGGCUGCCUAAGUCGGGUGUGAAAGCCCCGGGCUCAACCUGGGAACUGCACUCGAUACUGGGCGGCUAGAGUAUGAGAGAGGGAGGUAGAAUUCCACGUGUAGCAGUGAAAUGCGUAGAGAUGUGGAGGAAUACCGAUGGCGAAGGCAGCCUCCUGGGCCAACACUGACGCUCAUGCACGAAAGCGUGGGGAGCAAACAGG